CAGUAGCCGCGGUAAUACGAAGGGUGCAAGCGUUAAUCGGAAUUACUGGACGUAAAGCGUGCGUAGGCGGUGAGUUAAGUCUGCUGUGAAAUCCCCGGGCUCAACCUGGGAAUGGCAAUGGAUACUGGCAAGCUAGAGUGUGUCAGAGGAUGGUGGAAUUCCCGGUGUAGCGGUGAAAUGCGUAGAGAUCGGGAGGAACAUCAGUGGCGAAGGCGGCCAUCUGGGACAACACUGACGCUGAGGCACGAAAGCGUGGGGAGCAAACAGGAUUAGAUACCCCGGUAGUCCCUGUCUCUUAUAC
rnacentral:rRNA from 1 species